ensembl:lncRNA
GAGUCUUCCUUUUUUUCUCUUACAGCAGAAAGACCUCAGCUGGAGCCUGGGACUGUAACACGGAGGGUGCUCAAGAAACAAAGGAAGGGAGUUAUUCUUCACUGAGUGAGGGCUACAACAGCACAGACUCUGAGAAUGAAUUCAAUGCAUCCCAGAGGAGGAAGGAGUUAUCACCAGGCCAGGCUGUGUCCCCAGUGCAGGCUGUAUUGCGGCUGCUCGGAGGAGACGUCACCUCGCCAGGACCCGAGCUGAUUAUCUUCCCUUGGAUGCUUCAAAUGAUCGUCAGCUUUCUCAGAGAAGAGAAGGCGGUGAUUCAGAGGAUGAGGACGAGCCUGGUAGGAAUCAUCUCUAUUUUGUUCCUAAAAAGAGAACUCUUAGGCGUAGGAUGGCUGAACGCGUGGGUGAGUUGGUGCCUUUUCUCCCAGAGAGAGGCUGUGUCUUUUACUGAUGGAUGUCCGGAAGAAUGUGAGACUUGCCCAGUGAAGAGUGCAGUGCAAAGUUUUGCCCUUGAUCUUGACAGAAGACCAUAAUGCUUGGUGGUCCUUGAGGCUUAUGUGGGCUGUUCCUGCUCUCCACACACUGACAUUACGACUGUUAUGGGAAAGGGGUAAAAACAAACCAACAACAAAACACAACCAACCAGAGCCAGCCAGCCCUUUGGAAGUAGGCAGACUUACUGCAUGCCAAGCGUAUGUGGCUUUUCGGUUGCUCCUUAACUCAUCUUGCUGUUUGCAGUUUCACUUACAAAGCACUGGUUUGCCAGGCUUGUAGACCAAUCGCUUUAUUGUUUGGAUAAUGGUUGUAAGUAAUAUGCAGGUAUGGUCUGACUCUAUUGCUGUAAUAAAUGCUACGGAGAAACUUCUGUGUCUGUAGUAGAUUGUGCAUUGUAGAACACUUAAGGAUCUUCCGUGUCUGAUAUCCCCAGGUUGUAGUCUGUUUUUGAAGUCUCACGUGAUGUACAGGUUUGCUUUGAGACAUUUAUCUUUGUUCUUCCGGUACUGCAGUAAUCUGAGGAACGGUUGGGUAAAUGAAGGUGGAUUCUGCAAAAUCCGGUUGCCAUUCCUACAUCUUCUGAUUUGGACGUGGUCCUUGUGUACAGGCUUUUCGUCUGCUGCCAUCUGUUUCUAUCACUUGUAAUGGCUGUGGGAAGCGGUACUGUUUUUGAAGGAGGAGGUUGGGUGAGGAGUAGGGAAAUAAGCAAAGGGCGUAAUGAGGUGUGCUAAUGAUUGAUGUAAGUUGUAGUGCCUGUGAGCGAUGGAUCAAGUGAAGAUGAGGCAGAAACAAAGUGGGAAGAACAGCAAAUUAAGAAAGCUGUCGCACUCCCUCAGGUGAUAUGUGCUUUCCUAACUGUUGAAAUCUGCCUUUUGCUCAUAGGCAAGAGAGAGAUUGUUUUUUCCUUUUUCCUGGUAAAUAAUUGGCAAGAAUGUUUUCUCUGAUGUUGUGUUGUUUUUGGCUUGAGUCUUCUGUUCUAUAUCAGACUAGGAAAACCUGAGUUACCAAUUCUUCAUGUCAGAAGGGAAAGGUGCAGAAGUUGCUGCCUGCUGCAUGGCAGUGGUUCGAGGAUUGGGAAGGUUGCUGCUAAAUUUCACAUCCAGUAUAACUGGUGUUCUUAGGUCCUCAUACUCCAUUUGUUUCUGGAAACCCCUCAGUUUUUGCUGUCCAGAAGAUUGCAGAAGUUUUUAGCAGCAGACCUCGGUCAUGGACUCGAUUGCUCCAAGUCACUGUGUUCGGGUUAGAUUUUGUCCUACAGUCUCCUGCUGUUUUAGAAUGCAGAAUGUCAUUUAAUUUCCGUGUUGAUGUGGUUGGAGAUACGGUGUUUAAGUUAUAAUUGCAGUCAAGCCAAGUUGUCAGAAUGAAACUUCUAUCUUCAUCUUCAUUGUUUGGCUGUAGCUUAUUUCUGCUUUUCAUAUUAAAAACUGUACUACUUGUGAGGUUUCAGCUGUCGGCAUUGAACCGCUAUAUAUUGCGGGAAGCCAUUGAUGUCUUCAGACUGAGAGGAGGGCUGCUUUACCCUAAAUGACAGAUUGCUUUGUACUGAUGGAUGUGAAUGGUGUAUGCAUUUUACACCAUUACUACACAGCUUUUUGUAUAUAUGCUUUCCCUUUUGUGGUGUACAGAAAUUGCCCAAUCUGAUCAUUCCAAUGUACAUCUUUUUGUCAUAUGCUUUAUACAUUCGCAUGGUGUGUUUUGUUGACCUCUAAAGCUGCAGAGGCAAAACUUACAUCAAUUGUGUACAAAC